rnacentral:tRNA from 1 species
CAAAUUAUUCUUAGGGAAUAUUUCGUUUACAUUGAAAUGAUUGUUGUGCAAUUCAGCAUAAUUUGA